GUCCUAGGAAUGAAGGAAAACAGGCAAUAAGGCAAGAAUCGCUGUCGAAGGAGUCUGCGCCACCUGCUCGCACAGCUCACUUGUGCCUUCUGAGCCUGCUGGAGCCCAGUGUACAUAUGCCGUCUCCGCGUGAUUAGAGAUUGCUGCUGCACGUGCCCAAUCCCGUGGCGGGGUCUGGAACACAAACGGGGUGGUGUUCCAGCUGCAACCAUGCAGAUGAAGACUAUACCCUAGGAGAUGGAGGAACAACAGACAAGAAAGAAACCUGGGUUCCUGAAUAACCACGUGGAGCCAAGCAGCUUACUUAUCUCAAGCCACUGUUGCCCACCUCCAGAUUGGACUGUCUGCAAACAAAUCUUUACUUGAUGAGAAGUUUAAAUAUAAUUAAAUCUAGAAUAUUACAUGAA
rnacentral:lncRNA from 10 species